rnacentral:rRNA from 1 species
UACGGGGGGGGCAAGCGUUGUUCGGAAUUACUGGGCGUAAAGCGUGCGUAGACGGUCAUGUAAGUCGGGUGUGAAAGCCCCGGGCUCAACCUGGGAAUUGCAUUCGAGACUGCAUGGCUAGGAUGCGGAAGAGGGAAGCGGAAUUUCCGGUGUAGCGGUGAAAUGCGUAGAUAUCGGAAGGAACACCAGUGGCGAAAGCGGCUUCCUGGUCCAGCAUCGACGUUCAGGCACGAAAGCGUGGGGAGCAAACAGG